rnacentral:tRNA from 3 species
AGAUUAUAUGGUAGUACA